rnacentral:misc_RNA from 1 species
GUGAAUCAUCAAAUUUUUGAACGCAAAUUGCACUCUCCGGUUUUCCGGGAGCUUAUGCCUGUUCGAGGUCUUGUUUAAAAAAUAAUCGAGGUUUCUGCUGUGGUGGCGCUUCGGAAUUGGGUCAUUUUCCACCUUUCGGGGUUGUAAGCGUCCUAAAAUCUUUCUUAUGAUUUCUACUUACUU